GGCAGGUCAGCAUACUGCCGUGAAUACGUUCCCGGGCCCUUGUACACACCGCCCGUCCACACCAUGAGAGUUGGGAAUACCCGAAGCCUGUGAGCUAACUUUUAGAGGCAGCAGUCGAAGGUAGAAUCAAUGAUUGGGGUGAAGUCGUAACAAGGUAUC
rnacentral:rRNA from 1 species